CAAGUACACAUAGCUUUGGCGUUGGCUAAAGCGCCUAUAUGAGCAAAAACAAUGUUGUUGUUUUUUUAAGGUUUAUUUCUCUUAUAUGUGUGAGUACACUGUCUCUGUCUUCAGACACACCAGAAGAGGGCAUCUGAUCUCAUUACAGAUGGUUGUGAGACACCACGUGGUUGCUGGGAUUUGAACUCAGAGCCCUGGAAAGAACAGUCAGUGCUCUUAACUGCUGAACCAUCUCUCCAGCCCCCUGACUAUGUGGUUUUUAUUUCCUGUUCCUGUUCUGAGAUUGUGAGACUUCAUUUAAUAUUGUAUAUUCAAAGUCCAUUCAUUUUCCUGAGAAAAUUUGGAAUUACAUUGUGUAUAGCUGAACAGGAUUCCAUUUCUUUUGUACACCAUUUUUUUUUUUUUGCGAGUAGCCAGACUUGUAUUUGAUUACGGCAUAUGGUUACAUUAGAAUAUAAACAUGUAUUAUGACAUGUUAUCAUGGGGAGUCUUUUACACAAUAAAUGCACGGCUAGUAUUUUGUGUGUACCAUAUUUUCAUUAUGCACUUAACUGUUGGUACACCUGGGUUGUCUAAUGGCAAGAGCUGAAAGGUCAAGCACCAUAUCAAGGAUCAGAGUGGAGAGUGGACACUCCCUUCUUAUUCCUGAUCUUCCCAGAAAUGCUGGUGUCUCUUCAUUUGACUGAUGCUUCCAGCCUUUUGCUCUCUCUCUUCAGUGUAGGAGGGGGAGAGCACUCCUGUGUUUCCUGACUGUAUCAGAGCCUGGCUCUCCCAAGG
rnacentral:lncRNA from 1 species